AAUUAAAGAAAAUGAUAUUGCUAAACAUGAGAGAUUUGGUCCACUGAUUCUGAAAGAAAUGGAGUCACAAGAAAUUCACCAGGAAAUUCAGGAAUUGGAUUGUUAUGAUGAUGUUCUGGAAGAUGAUGAUUGUCAUUGAAUUGUCAUUGAGUAAAUGAGUAAAUUCUUGAUACUGUAGGA